rnacentral:rRNA from 1 species
GACGAACGCUGGCGGCGUGCUUAACACAUGCAAGUCGAGCGGUAAGGCCCUUUCGGGGGUACACGAGCGGCGAACGGGUGAGUAACACGUGGGUGACCUGCCCUCAGCUCUGGGAUAAGCCUGGGAAACCGGGUCUAAUACUGGAUAUGACUCCAUGACGCAUGUUGUGGGGUGGAAAGCCUUGUGCGGCUGAGGAUGGGCCCGCGGCCUAUCAGCUUGUUGGUGGGGUGANGGCCUACCAAGGCGACGACGGGUAGCCGGCCUGAGAGGGCGACCGGCCACACUGGGACUGAGACACGGCCCAGACUCCUACGGGAGGCAGCAGUGGGGAAUCUUGCGCAAUGGGCGAAAGCCUGACGCAGCGACGCCGCGUGAGGGAUGGACGG